CACGUAGGGCGCAGGCGUUGUCCGGAAUUAUUGGGCGUAAAGAGCUCGUAGGCGGUCUGUUACGUCUGCUGUGAAAACCCAGGGCUUAACCCUGGGCUUGCAGUGGAUACGGGCAGACUAGAGGCAGGUAGGGGAGAAUGGAAUUCCCGGUGUAGCGGUGAAAUGCGCAGAUAUCGGGAGGAACACCGGUGGCGAAGGCGGUUCUCUGGGCCUGACCUGACGCUGAGGAGCGAAAGCGUGGGGAGCGAACAGG
rnacentral:rRNA from 1 species